rnacentral:miRNA from 8 species
AAAGAGGCAUAGGGCAUGGGAAAA